rnacentral:rRNA from 1 species
AUUGAACGCUGGCGGCAGGCCUAACACAUGCAAGUCGAACGAGUGGCGGACGGGUGAGUAAUGUCUGGGAAACUGCCUGAUGGAGGGGGAUAACUACUGGAAACGGUAGCUAAUACCGCAUACCAUCAGAUGUGCCCAGAUGGGAUUAGCUAGUUGGUGGGGUAACGGCUCACCAAGGCGACGAUCCCUAGCUGGUCUGAGAGGAUGACCCGCCAAACUGGAACUGAGACACGUCCCAACUCCCUCGGGAAGCAGGAAGGGGGAAUAUUUGACAAUGGGCGCAAGCCUGUUGCACCCAGCCGGGGGUUAUGAGGAGGGCCUCGGGUUUGAAAGGUCUUUUCAGCGGGAGGACGUUCCCGCAGAAGAAGCACCGGCUAACUCCGUGCCAGCAGCCGCGGUAAUUC